rnacentral:rRNA from 1 species
AACACAUGCAAGUCGAGCGGCAGCGACAACAAAGAUUCUCGGAUGAUUGUUGGGCGGCGAGCGGCGGACGGGUGAGUAAUGGCUGGGAACCUGCCUGACGUGGGGGAUAACAGUUGGAAACGACUGCUAAUACCGUAUGAUGUCUUCGGACCAAAGAGGAGGACUUUCGGGCUUCUCGCGUCGGGAUGGGCCCAGUUGGGAUUAGCUAGUUGGUGAGGUAAUGGCUCACCAAGGCGACGAUCCCUAGCUGGUUUGAGAGGAUGAUCAGCCACACUGGAACUGAGACACGGUCCAGACUCCUACGGGAGGCAGCAGUGGGGAAUAUUGCACAAUGGGCGCAAGCCUGAUGCAGCCAUGCCGCGUGUGUGAAGAAGGCCUUCGGGUUGUAAAGCACUUUCAGCAGUGAGGAAGGGUAAUGAGUUAAUACCUUAUUAUCUUGACGUUAGCUGCAGAAGAAGCACCGGCUAACUCCGUGCCAGCAGCCGCGGUAAUACGGAGGGUGCGAGCGUUAAUCGGAAUUACUGGGCGUAAAGCGCAUGCAGGCGGUUUGUUAAGUCAGAUGUGAAAGCCCGGGGCUCAACCUCGGAACUGCAUUUGAAACUGGUGAACUAGAGUGCUGUAGAGGGGGGUAGAAUUUCAGGUGUAGCGGUGAAAUGCGUAGAGAUCUGAAGGAAUACCAGUGGCGAAGGCGGCCCCCUGGACAGACACUGACACUCAGAUGCGAAAGCGUGAGGAGCAAACAGGAUUAGAUACCCUGGUAGUCCACGCCGUAAACGAUGUCUACUUGGAGGUUGUGGCCUUGAGCCGUGGCUUUCGGAGCUAACGCGUUAAGUAGACCGCCUGGGGAGUACGGUCGC